rnacentral:rRNA from 1 species
UGGGGAAUAUUAGAAAUGGACGAAAGUCUGAUCUAGCAACACCGCGUGUGCGAAGAAGGCCUUCGGGUUGUAAAGCACUUUUUGGAAGGAUUAGGAAGGAAUGUACUUCCAGAAUAAGUCUCGGCUAACUACGUGCCAGCAGCCGCGGUAACACGUAGGAGGCAAACGUUAUCCGGAUUUACUGGGCGUAAAGCGCGUGUAGGUGGUACUGUAAGUAGGGCGUGAAAGCUCCUGGCUCAACUGGGAGAGGCCGUUCUAAACUACAGAACUAGAGGAUGGUAGAGGGAGGUGGAAUUCCAGGUGUAGCGGUGGAAUGCGCAGAUAUCUGGAGGAACACCGGUGGCGAAGGCGGCCUCCUGGACCAUUCCUGACACUCAGACGCGAAAGCUAGGUUAGCAAACG